AUGCUGGUUACUAGGAGCGAGCUUCAGAACCUGACGCCGCAGUUGCAGGAUCCUGGGGACGAUCUCAACCAGGUCAGCCUUCUCCGCCACAGGGUCGACACCGGGGAGUCGUUCCCGGCCGACAGCUUCAUCCGAGAGGCGGAUGUAUGCUCGGCCGCCCCCGCGGACCUCAUCCGCGACCAUGCUCUGGGCACGGACCUCGGGGAGGUGGGGUACUUCUGCAGCCCAGCAGUUUACCACCACAUCCCGGGUGCGCGGAGGCGAAAGCUCAACGUCGGCAGCGCCGGCGCCGGUGACAACUGUCAGUGGCACCCGGAGACGGGAAAGUUGCCCAUCCUAGGCCCGGACGAGAAACCCGUUGGGGCGUACAAGCGCAAGCUCUCGUACGUGCUCAAGGUCAAGAACCCGCCUGGUUCCGCAAAACCGUAUGGAAGGAAAAGUCUUGGCUGGAUCAUGGUCGAGAUUGGGCUCGAGCAGCAGCAGGCCGGCGAGCAGCUGGUGCUCUGCAAGGUGUACAAGUCACAGCGGCCUCGCUCGGACGCUGAAGCAUCCACUACGGAAGCCUGCAGCGUGCCCGGCGGGGCCGGGGACAACGCAUGUCCAGCGCCGCCGCCUGCUGCUGCUGCUCCUUCAAGUCCAUCGUGUGAUCACCAGGUAACGGAACGUAAAACGACGACAUUAGGAUACGAUCUUCACUCCGCGGGCCCGGGGGUCGGCCGGAAGCCGCCUCUCUCCUUCAAGCAUGGCACUCGGUGUAGGUCGAUGGGAGGGAGCAGGGGUGGCGUGGCAAUUGUGAAGAAGGCGUCGGCGGCGGCGGUGACCGUCGUGAUGAAAUUCGGAGGGUCGUUGACACGGUCGGCCGAUCGGAUGAAGGAGAUGGCCAAGCUUGUCCUCAGCUUGGAAAAUCCGGUGGUUGUUCUGUCCGCCAUCAGGAACACCACCGACAACCUUCUCGAGGCUGCAUGGAAGGCGCUGAGCUGCGGCUCCCAAGAGGUGAGCGAAAUCCACGAGCUCGCCACGGUAAAGGAGCUGCAACUCAGGAUGAUCGGUGAUCUUGGACUGCAUAAGCCCAUGUUUUCAGGUAGAUUUUUGGAGGCCGAGCUCCAAAAAAUAAAAAAUGAAAACGAGCUCACUGGAGCUUGGCCUCCGAUGGCAUUUUCCGGUUUUUCAUACUGCUUUUAUACGAUGCGGCACGGCGGCAGAUCCGACCAUACAUGCAUAUGGCAAAAUGCAGCAACCAGCAACCAAGUUGGACCCGGCCUCCAAAGUCACCAAAAUGUCGUGCUUUCCCCAACAAACCUUGAGAGCCUGUCUCUAAUGGCUGGUCCGGUCCUUCCUUCGAUCUCUCCUCCAAGGCUCCAACACAUCCUAUCUCCUCUCUCCCUCCUGAGCCAUCCUGCGCGGCGCUCCCAGGCAUGGACGAGCUCGAUGUCGGAUGAAAACGCCGCGGCCAUUUCAGUUUUCCAGCAGCGCGCAGCUCAAUGUGACCAUCAAGCCUUCUGUUCACAGAUUCAUCGGAGCGCCUCUCUUCCUGUGUUAUAUUAUCUCUCACAGCGCAACUGGGAGCCUUACCUGAUUCUAGACCCUUUUCGUGAUCUACCUUUUCCUAUUAUGUCAAGAUUUUUGUGUGCAGAUGUGAAAGAUAGUCAAUUAGGUGAUUUCCAAAAUGAAUGGGAAUUGUAUGCCGUCAAUACUCGUCGAAAGGGUGGUAGUGAUUUGACUGCCACUACUAUCGGCAGAGACUUGGGAUCAAGAGAAAUCCAGGUAUGGAUGGAUGUAGACGGUGUUUUGACGUGUGAUCCUAAUGUUUGUGCAAAUGCAAUACCACUGCCCCACUUGACUUUUGGUGAGGCUGCUGAACUUGGGUUGUUUGGUGCAAAGUCAAUGCAACAAGCAAUGGAAGGUGGCAUACCGGUUAUAGUUAAGAACUUGUGCAACCCUCAAGCACGUGGCACCAAGAUAGCUAAAACAAGAUAUAUGAGCAAGUCAUUCUCAACACUUGGAAAUUUUGGCAUAUCAUUCGAUUGUGUGGCUAUUAGUGACGGCAAGAUCUCCUUGAUAGUAAUACCAUCAAAGAUGUCGAGUCAUGAAUUAUUGGAGCUUGAUAAUGUAGCUGAAGAGCUUCAAAAGCUUGCAGUUGUUACUUGCCUACAAGACAGAUCAGUCAUCUCCCUGAUAGGAAACAACACACAGAUGUCGUCAACCAUUUUUUUAAAGGCAGUCAAUGUUCUACGGGGCAUUAAUGUUGAUGUCCAGAAGUUCUCGCAGGGGUCGUCCGAGGUGAUGAAGGUGUCCUUAGUGGUCGCCGACAGCGAGACAAAACAUUGUGUGCAAGUCCUUCAUUCAGCAUUUUUUGGGAAUGUCUUUGUGCGAGAAGUCCAGGAAGUGGAUCUGGAGCUUAAUGGCUCCCAGGUGCAAGAGCCAGAGAACUCACCGCCGGUAGGAGCCAGCUCCAGCGACAAGAGAAAGACGGGUGACGAACAUUUGGUGGCUCCACCAAACGUGCGUCAGAAACUGACGAGCACUGAGCCCGAUGAUCAUAUGGGGGUAACUGAACACCAGUGGUCCCUGGACGGCGAUCCGAUGGCCGUCGGAGGCGACAACAUCAACAAUCCUGAGGUUUUGCCCUCCAGAGGAGGGGAGCAAUCCAUUCCUCAACCCGCAACAGGCGAUGUGCCUGACGAGGGGGCCGGAGAGGGUUUCUGGACGGAAACCAUGAUGUCUCAAGUGGAGCCGUUCAUGGAUAAGCUCUUCCCAACGUCGGAGUGGGACCCCACCAAUAGUGGUCAAUACGCAUUGUUGUCAAAUGUACCUCCGCCCCGUCGUGAUGAGUCCAUGGAAGAUUUGACGUCCUUCGACGAUUUCGACCCAUUGUGGAUGAUAUAA
rnacentral:rRNA from 1 species